rnacentral:rRNA from 1 species
ACGGAGGGUGCAAGCGUUGUUCGGAAUUAUUGGGCGUAAAGGGCGCGUAGGCGGUUGUGUAAGUCAGAUGUGAAAUACUCCGGCUCAACCGGAGAACUGCAUUUGAAACUGUGCAGCUAGAGUACAGGAGAGGGAAAUGGAAUUCCCGGUGUAGAGGUGAAAUUCGUAGAUAUCGGGAGGAACACCAGUGGCGAAGGCGAUUUCCUGGCCUGAUACUGACGCUGAGGCGCGAAAGCGUGGGGAGCAAACAG